UACGGGAGGCAGCAGUGGGGAAUAUUGCACAAUGGGCGCAAGCCUGAUGCAGCCAUGCCGCGUGUAUGAAGAAGGCCUUCGGGUUGUAAAGUACUUUCAGUCGUGAGGAAGGUGUUAAGGUUAAUAACCUUAGCAAUUGACGUUAGCGACAGAAGAAGCACCGGCUAACUCCGUGCCAGCAGCCGCGGUAAUACGGAGGGUGCGAGCGUUAAUCGGAAUUACUGGGCGUAAAGGGCACGCAGGCGGUUAAUUAAGUUGGAUGUGAAAUCCCCGGGCUUAACCUGGGAAUGGCAUUCAAGACUGGUUAGCUAGAGUCUGUAGAGGGGGUAGAAUUCCAUGUGUAGCGGUGAAAUGCGUAGAGAUGUGGAGGAAUACCGGUGGCGAAGGCGGCCCCUGGACAAAGACUGACGCUCAUGUGCGAAAGCUGGGGAGCAAAC
rnacentral:rRNA from 1 species